GACGGAAGCUGCAAGCGUCAUCCGGAAUGAUUGGGCGUAAAGCGUCCGCAGGUGGCAGUUCAAGUCUGCUGUCAAAGACCGGGGCUUAACUUCGGAAAGGCAGUGGAAACUGGACAGCUAGAGUAUGGUAGGGGCAGAGGGAAUUCCUGGUGUAGCGGUGAAAUGCGUAGAGAUCAGGAAGAACAUCGGUGGCGAAGGCGCUCUGCUGGACCAUAACUGACACUCAGGGACGAAAGCUAGGGGAGCGAAUGGG
rnacentral:rRNA from 1 species